rnacentral:lncRNA from 1 species
CAAUGCUUUAGAAUUGGGAUCUAGCAUUGAGGGUACUUCUUUAUUUAGUAGUCAGGGGAUCAUACAUCAAACCACAUGCUCUCAUUCUCCUCAACGGAAUGGUGUUGUUGAGAGGGAGCAUAGAACCCUCCUUGAAACCUGUAGAGCUUUGCUUUUUCAAUCUGGAUUACCUGUAUCUUUCUGGGGGGACUGUUUGUUGACUGCCACUUACCUCCUUAGCAGAAUACCCACCAGAUUGCUUCACCAUAAAUCCCCUCAUGAAAUCUUGUAUGGGAAAGUUCCAACCUAUUCUCAUUUGAGAACAUUUGGCUGCCUUGCCUAUGCUACUGUCCCAAUCCCUCAAACAUAAAUCUCCUCAUGAAAUCUUGUAUGGGAAAGUUCCAACCUAUUCUCAUUUGAGAAUAUUUGGCUACCUUGCCUAUGCUACUGUCCCAAUCCCUCAAAGGGAUAAGCUAAGGCCAAGAGCCCUUCCUUGUAUUUUCCUGGGUUAUCCUUUUGCCAAGAAAGGUUAUAAAUUGUAUGAUCUUGCUUCAAAGACAUGUUUGGUUUCCAGGGAUGUUAUAUUUCAUGAAUCCUGUUUUCCUUUUAAAACUGUAUCUUCUUCUGCUCAUCCAUCUGCUUUAUCCUUUCCUUUUGUUCCAUCUGUACAAUAUGAUGAUGAUUCUGAUUCUCCCAUUCCCAUCUCCUCUCCUCUUUCUCCUACAUCUGUGCAAGUACCUCCUCAUACUGUUCUAGACUCUACUGACUCUACCUUCACUCCUUCUUUCAAUCCUGAUAUCUCCCCUCCUGUUCUAGCUUCUUCAUACUGUUCCAGACUCUACUGACUCUACCUUCACUCCUUCUUUCAAUCCUGAUAUCUCCCCUCCUGUUAUAGCUUCUUCUCCUUCUGUUCCUUGCUCCCAGAAAGUCUCAAAGACAGCAUAAUCCUCCCUCUUAUCUUAAGGAUUAUGUCUGUCANNN